rfam:Brassica oleracea var. oleracea cultivar TO1000 chromosome C8, whole genome shotgun sequence
AGAAUAUAAGAACCGUCUCUUAACUUUUAAAUAAAAAAACUAAAAACUGGUUUUUAAAUAAAAGUUUUAAGAGUCGGUUUUUAACUUUUUUAGUUAAAAGUUAAGACACGAGUUCUUAUAUUCC